rnacentral:sRNA from 1 species
AAAUUCUUCGAAUUAAAUAUUUGACAUUUAACAAUUUUCCUAAAAUCUCUCUACAUUAACUACACGAUUGGUUAAUAAAAUAAAACUUUCAAAAUAUUUAAUAUCAUUUAAUUACUACAAAAUUAUCAUUAUUGAUAUUGUUUUUCUGCAUGACUAUUACAAUUCAAUUAUAAUCAUCAAACCGCAGAGAUAUUUGAUAGCAUUUAAUUACUACAAAAUUACAAAAUAUUUAGACAAUGAUUCAUAAACAUAUGAUAAAUAAGAUCAACAUUAAUAAAAUAAAUGAAUUUUUUUUACGGGACGGGUUAGCGGGACGGGUUAGCGGGACGGGUUUGGCAGGUUGUUACUUAAUAACAAUUCUAAACUAUAAAAUAAAAAUAU